rnacentral:rRNA from 1 species
UAAAGCCCUUCGCUUACACCGAAAAGUUAUCUAUUAAUACAGAUUAUUUUGAGCCAACAAUCUAACCCCACUUCACCCUAUAACAUCUCAACACUUUUGUGAUAAAAUCAAAACAUUUUAAUAACUUAGUAGAGGCGAUCAAAAAGUUAACUGGAGUAAUAUCAAAUGUACCGCAAGGGAAAGAUGAAAUAAAAAUGAAAUAUCUUCCAAGCACAAUAAAGUAAAGAUUCUCUCUUGUACCUUUUGCAUCAUGAUUUAACUAGUCUACCUCAGCAAAAUGACUUUUAGUCUAGCCCCCCGAAACUAAGUGAGCUACUUCAAGGCAGCUUAAUGAGCAUAUCCGUCUCUGUUGCAAAAGAGUGGAGAGACCUUCAAGUAGAGGUGACAGACCUAACGAACUUAGUGAUAGCUGGUUACUCGAGAAAAGGAUCUUAGUCCCACCUAAAACUAUUGUAUUUUUAUAAAAUAAAAAUUUAUAACUUUAGAGUAAUUCAAUUAAGGUACAGCCUACUUGAAACAGGAUACAACCUUUACUAAUGGGUAAACUUCUACUCACAAUUUUUAAGUGGGCCUAAAAGCAGCCACCUUUCAAAAAGCGUCAAAGCUUUACUAUCGUGAUAAAAAAUAUCAAUUUUGUUACACAACCCUUUACUAGUACCGAGUAAUUCUAUAUUACUAUAGAAAUUUUUAUGUUAAAACUAGUAACAAGAAUAAAAUUUUCUCUGUAUGUAAGUGUACACCAGGAAGGACAAACCACUGGUAAUUAACAUUCGUGAAUCUAAUAGAAGCAACUUAACAAGAAAAACCUUCUAUAACCCAUGUUAAUCUAACACAAGCACAUGUCAAGAAAGAUUAAAAGGAAAAGAAGGAACUCGGCAAACAUUAACCUCGCCUGUUUACCAAAAACAUCGCCUCUUGUAAAAUUUUAGAGGUCCAGCCUGCCCAGUGACUUUGUUCAACGGCCGCGGUAUCCUAACCGUGCGAAGGUAGCGUAAUCACUUGUUCUUUAAAUAAGGACUAGUAUGAAUGGCAUCACGAGGGUUAUACUGUCUCCUUUUCCUAAUCAGUGAAACUAAUCUUCCCGUGAAGAAGCGGGAAUAAUUUUAUAAGACGAGAAGACCCUAUGGAGCUUUAAAUGAAUAACACCUGCUAACUAUCUACAAUAUUCAGAUACUUAACUUAUAUUUUAGCAUGAUGAUUACUAGUUUUAGGUUGGGGUGACCACGGAGUAAAAAUUAACCUCCAUAUUGUAAAGAAUAAUUUUAAGCAAGAAGUUACAACUUUAAGCAUCAAUAAAUUGACAUUUAUUGACCCAAUAUUUUGAGCAACGAACCAAGUUACCCUAGGGAUAACAGCGCAAUCCACUUUGAGAGCUCUUAUCGACAAGUGGGCUUACGACCUCGAUGUUGGAUCAGGGUAUCCCAGUGGUGUAGCCGCUACUAAAGGUUCGUUUGUUCAAC